UACGUAGGGUGCAAGCGUUGUCCGGAAUCAUUGGGCGUAAAGCGCGCGUAGGCGGCCCGAUAAGUCCGCUGUAAAAGUCAACGGCUCAACUGUUGAAAGCCGGUGGAUACUGGCGGGCUAGAGUACGGAAGAGGCAAGUGGAAUUCCUGGUGUAGCGGUGGAAUGCGCAGAUAUCAGAGGAACACCUAUAGCGAAGGCAGCUUGCUGGGACGUUACUGACGCUAAGGCGCGAAAGCGUGGGGAGCGAACAGG
rnacentral:rRNA from 1 species